AUGGGUAACAGAAUUGUUCUGUUAUCUUAUGUAUUCAUUAGGCUGGGGACAGCUCUCUGAAAAUAGGAGUAAAUAGUGGCUCCUCGAUAAACAUCUUCUUGCCUACAGCAUGUAUGACUGCAAACACAUUCCCACUUCAACUAAUCCAAGAUGAGAAGGAUGACAAAAUAAGAGAAAUCAUGGGAAAAACUGCCCAUUUCUGUUUUGUCUACUUUGCUUUGGGAAGUGAGAGCUAUACUCAUUAUCACCACAUCCCCUGGCAUCCAACUCCAUCCUCUUCACCACUGCUCACUAAGGGACAGUUCUGCAGCAGGCAUCCCAUGUAG
ensembl:lincRNA